rnacentral:rRNA from 1 species
AUUGAACGCUGGCGGCAGGCCUAACACAUGCAAGUCGAACGAGUGGCGGACGGGUGAGUCAUGUCUGGGAAACUGCCUGAUGGAGGGGGAUAACUCCUGGCAACGGUAGCUAAUACCGCAUACCAUCAGAUGUGCCCAGAUGGGAUUAGCUAGUUGGUGGGGUAACGGCUCACCAAGGCGACGAUCCCUAGCUGGUCUGAGAGGAUGACCAGCCACAAGGGAACUGAGACACGGUCCAGACUCCUACGGUAGGCAGCAGCGGGGAAUAUUGCACAAUGGGCGCAAGCCGGAUGCAGCCAUGCCGCGUGUAUGAAGAAGGCCUUCGGGUUGUAAAGUACUUUCAGCGGGGAGGCGUUACCCGCAGAAGAAGCACCGGCUAACUCCGUGCCAGCAGCCGCGGUAAUUC